GACGAACGCUGGCGGCGUGCUUAACACAUGCAAGUCGAACGGGAAGGCCCUGCUUUUGUGGGGUGCUCGAGUGGCGAACGGGUGAGUAACACGUGAGUAACCUGCCCUUGACUUUGGGAUAACUUCAGGAAACUGGGGCUAAUACCGGAUAGGAGCUCCUGCUGCAUGGUGGGGGUUGGAAAGUUUCGGCGGUUGGGGAUGGACUCGCGGCUUAUCAGCUUGUUGGUGGGGUAGUGGCUUACCAAGGCUUUGACGGGUAGCCGGCCUGAGAGGGUGACCGGCCACAUUGGGACUGAGAUACGGCCCAGACUCCUACGGGAGGCAGCAGUGGGGAAUAUUGCACAAUGGGCGGAAGCCUGAUGCAGCAACGCCGCGUGCGGGAUGACGGCCUUCGGGUUGUAAACCGCUUUCGCCUGUGACGAAGCGUGAGUGACGGUAAUGGGUAAAGAAGCACCGGCUAACUACGUGCCUGCAGCCGCGGUGAUACGUAGGGUGCGAGCGUUGUCCGGAUUUAUUGGGCGUAAAGGGCUCGUAGGUGGUUGAUCGCGUCGGAAGUGUAAUCUUGGGGCUUAACCCUGAGCGUGCUUUCGAUACGGGUUGACUUGAGGAAGGUAGGGGAGAAUGGAAUUCCUGGUGGAGCGGUGGAAUGCGCAGAUAUCAGGAGGAACACCAGUGGCGAAGGCGGUUCUCUGGGCCUUUCCUGACGCUGAGGAGCGAAAGCGUGGGGAGCGAACAGGCUUAGAUACCCUGGUAGUCCACGCUGUAAACGGUGGGUACUAGGUGUGGGGUCCAUUCCACGGGUUCCGUGCCGUAGCUAACGCUUUAAGUACCCCGCCUGGGGAGUACGGCCGCAAGGCUAAAACUCAAAGGAAUUGACGGGGCCCCGCACAAGCGGCGGAGCAUGCGGAUUAAUUCGAUGCAACGCGUAGAACCUUACCUGGGUUUGACAUGGAUCGGGAGUGCUCAGAGAUGGGUGUGCCUCUUUUGGGGUCGGUUCACAGGUGGUGCAUGGCUGUCGUCAGCUCGUGUCGUGAGAUGUUGGGUUAAGUCCCGCAACGAGCGCAACCCUUGUUCACUGUUGCCAGCACGUUAUGGUGGGGACUCAGUGGAGACCGCCGGGGUCAACUCGGAGGAAGGUGGGGAUGACGUCAAGUCAUCAUGCCCCUUAUGUCCAGGGCUUCACGCAUGCUACAAUGGCUGGUACAGAGAGUGGCGAGCCUGUGAGGGUGAGCGAAUCUCGGAAAGCCGGUCUCAGUUCGGAUUGGGGUCUGCAACUCGACCUCAUGAAGUCGGAGUCGCUAGUAAUCGCAGAUCAGCAACGCUGCGGUGAAUACGUUCCCGGG
rnacentral:rRNA from 1 species